CUGAGAUGUGGGGAGCACCUCUGCCCCGCCGCCCUGUCUGGGAUGUGAGGAGCGCCUCUGCUGGGCCGCAACCCUGUCUGGGAGGUGAGGAGCGUCUCUGCCCGGCCGCCCCAUCUGAGAAGUGAGGAAACCCUCUGCCUGGCAACCGCCCCUACUGGGAAGUGAGGAGUCCCUCUGCCCAGCCAGCCGCCCCGUCCGGGAGGGGGGAGGGGGGGUCAGCCCCCUGCCCGGCCAGCCGCCCCGUCCGGGAGGGAGGUGGUGGGGGCCAGCCCCCCGCCCGGCCAGCCGCCCCGUCCGGGAGCAGGCCUCCAUGAUGUAAUACUCGAAGGAAGCUCUUGGAACAAAAGAAGGGAACUUCUGAUAUGCAAGAAAGAAUGAAGAGCUCAGGAAUAGACUACAUCACAAGAAGGUCAGGGUGCUUUCUGCUGAGUAUCGAUGAAAGCGGACAAGAAUAUAUACAGCAGAGCUCUUUUCGCUCUGUCUUCUUCAGUAAGCAAUGCUGGUGGAUUCUUCUGCAUCAACUUGGUUAAACUGAAACAACUUAUCCCAGAAUUUCUUCUGUAUAUAUUUCCAAGUUAGAGUCGGCCAAAAGAAAAAUUUGCACAAGAUCUGGAAGUGUCCAGUUGGUCUCCUUGAGGUAUCAUGCCAUUUUGGAGUCUCCGCAUUAGUCUCUGUUGCUGGCAGGUUGAACAUAGCAGUAGCAGAAGUCGGUCCCGGUGAGUGAGAGCCCAUGUUGUUGGACCCAGGCAGGACCUCCACCUCUGCCACCAUGGCCAUGUCAUUCAGACACUAAUGGCUAAUGUCAACUCCCUGGCUUCUUUUGUUUUGACGGUUUUUGAGUGUCCUUUCCCUGGAGGAUGAUAUCUGGUGGUCAUUAAGGAAUGACAUGAAGAUCUUCAACAUGGCGCCUUGAACAUGCCCAUCCACAUGCCGCUACCUUAGACCUCCUAGUCCCCAGUCUUUCAAUCUCUGUCACUUCAGGCCCCUGACCAGUCAGCCUGGAUCCCAAGUGUUACUAUCAAGACCUUGUCUAUUGCAUAACAGACCUGCCUUUGUUGGGUGGUUAACCAGGCAACUGAAGCUCAGUGACUUUGCUUGAUAUGUCCUAGGCUUAGCGCACAGCUUUCUCAGCCCACCUGAGUGUUCGAGUUUCUUUGUCCGCAACCAAAGACACCCUCUGGCUUUCACACCAGGCUUUCAAUUGCUUGUUACUCACCACUGGUUAGUUUCACUCUGUAGUGCGUCAAUAACCCUCGUUUUCCUUAUACUAUUUUCUCCA
rnacentral:lncRNA from 1 species